rnacentral:lncRNA from 1 species
GGUUCUCAUUUCUUCAACCCCUUCUCCCUUUAUAUGCUACUUAUUGAGAAAUAAUGAGUUGAAGACAGUACCAAAGAAAAGGCUGACAAUGUGAUGCAGUAGAAAGAGAAAGACUAGAAGUUUAUAUGAGAAUUCAUAUCUGAUUAGAAUGCAGGCUUGAAUUCUGCAGGUACAGUAAAGCAGUAAUAUAGUUUUUUCUCCUCAAAAGAAAAUUUGACUUACAACAAUCAUAUUGAUGUAAACAACUGAUUAUUGAGAUUAAUUUAUUUUUUCAAUCUCAGUUUUCUGUAGUUCAUUGUUUGGUGAUUUGCAGUAGUCAAUCUGAUUUUUCAUAUUCUGCUCUAUGAACUACAUUGAUUCUUCUAUUAUGUUGAAUUGUUUCGUUAAGAACAGUCAAGUCAAGAGAAUGUGCAAAAGCAAAAAGAGGGAGAAAGGAGAUUAUGGUAGAAUUUGGUAACAAGUUAGAACUUAGAACAAUAUAACAUGUGUUGUCCUAUAUGUAAGUCAAACGAGAUUAAGCAGAAUCUGAGCCAUUCAGACAAUAGUUAAGAAAUGUCUUAUUUUUUUCAUGGCUGGAAAAGAAUGUUGUUGAGAAUGUGCAAUUUUAAUAACAUAAGUUCAUUUCUAACGGAAGAAUAACAUUAGGUCAUCUCUAACAGCAGUUCUUAGUACAGUACUUGGAGGUAAGUUCUUAAAGAGUUAUAUCAUUGAAGUGAAAGUUGCUAAAGUUCUUUCUUAAAACUGAUGUGGCAUUGUAGAACCAUUGAGAUGUUAUUACUCAUUAUUAUAUGAAAAAUGUCAAAGUCAGGACGAGACUAUUAGGUACAAAGAGGUGUAAUGUUAUACAGAUUAAAACUGCAGAAUAGAUCAUUGGUCGUACUUCGAUCGAGUGUGGCAUUCGGCACAUAUCAUAAAAAAAAUUGUGUGUUAUCAUCCAUUUCUAUCCAACUGAAGAAAUCCAGAAUUAGAUAAACAAAUUUCAUUUUUCCCACAAAAAGGAAUGUAUCAAAGGUACCAAUACUCUUAUCCAUUGAUGUGGUCUCGGCAUCAUUAAAACCAACAUGACAGAUAUCUAUGGACCUCAAGCGAUUGAGUCGGUAACAGAAGAAAUGGAUGUCCAUGUAGCGUGGAAACACAAGGUUGCAUUUGAAAGGGACUGGAGUCUAAUUUGGAUUAACUUCUACCUCAGGAGAACUUCUCAAUUAAAAUAAAAUUAAAUUAUAAUUCUUCGCUUAUAAAAAUACCCUUAUAAGCUUAUAGAUAUGUAUGGGGAAGUUAAACAAGAGAACUUCUGUAGAGAUCUAGAAGGUAAUCUUGAAUUCUUGAUUACUACAAGAAGUUGUUAUCCAACAAACUCAUAAUUAUUGCAAUAUUCUUUCCAUAAGUGCUUUUAGAGAAGUUCACUCAAACUGGCUCUAAGUCAAAAGACACAAUUACGUGAUCAAAAUACACGAG